AAAAAAAAAAGAAAGUUUUGUGAAAUUCAGAUGUUGGUUUUUUUCCUGUGGGGCUCAUUGUUUAGCAGAUGUAUAUGGUAGCUAGACAUUCAUUAUUUUAAGUCUGAUUAGAGGCAAGUUAUGUUUGGGAUCUAAGCAGUCAUGUCACAGGAAGACAAGUACAAGGGACAAGUAAAAACCAAAUAAUUCCGCUAGAGGUAGGCCCUCCUCUCAUGGCGCGCUAGGGAGUAAGAGACGCUUGGGUGGAUUUAUAAGCAAGAUUCCCCUAAAAAUGAGGAAGAGCCUCAUUUGGUCCAAUAUUACAAACCAUCCCUCCUGGGCCAGGCUUCUCUCUGCCACCAUUGUACAGCCCAGCAGACCAAGGCCCAGAGAAUUUUGGUGACGGCUCAAGGACACAUGCUGAUGUCAAAGCCAGGCCUUGUGUUCAUGCCUCCUGACACUUCUUCAAGUAUUAUUUUAAUGCACUGUUCUGCCAGUGGAAGAUGUGUGCCUGUGCACAUGAGCAUACAUGUCACCAAAAGGCUCUCUACGAAAUUUGAAUCACACUAUAAAAUCAUAUUCUCAUCAAUUGGACCGACAUUAGAAAAAAAGCAACUAGUUUUCUUAAAGAAUUUUGAGCAUGCUAUGCAAGGUUGGGAGUUCCCGCCUACUGUGGCGCAGCGGAAACGAAUCCUACUGGUAACCAUGAGGUUGCAGGUUCAAUCCCUGGCCUUGCUCGGUGGGUUAAGGACCCGGCGUUGCGGUAAAGCUGUGGUGUAGGUCACAGACGCAGCUCAGACCCGGUGUUGCUGCGGCUAUGAUGUAGGCCAGUGGUUGUAGCUCGGAUUCAGUCCCUAGCCUGGGCACCUCCAUACGCCACACGGUACAGCCCUAAAAAGCAAAAAUAAAUAAAGAAAUAAAGCCCGGUAAUAGUUUAGUAUUGCUAACAGUGUGUACACUCCCCUGUCCUCAGAUUUCACCUUUUAACAUCCCAAAGACUUCGUUUUCCUUAUUUCCCUUCCCGUCCAACCCUCCUGUCUCUGACCCUUCUUGUCUCCUGCACGCUGGAGGUCAUUUGAGUCAAUGAUGCUGGAUGACAAUAAAGCAGGGAAACAUCAUCAACUGUAUCCGCCUCCCCCCCAUUGCAUCCACCACCAAAACAGGCAGUCACAGGCGUAUGAAACUUUCUUUUGCAUUUAACUACCUGCCAUGUGACCUUGCUAAGAGCCAGGAAACGCUCCCUUUCUGAUUUGCCCUCUUCAUCCUGAAGGAGGAGGCCUCGCUCAUUAUUUCUGAGGAAACAAAAACUGUUAGUAGCUUCAUUUUUUGUUCCGGUAGAGAUAGAGGAACAGAAGACACAUCUCUCCUUACAAAGGAACUUGAGUGUAGACAGAUAGUAUGAGCUCUUAAAUACUUGGUGGUUUCUCUGAUUGAUUCCUAAGUAAAGGACAUAAGUCAAUAACAAGGGUGCCUUUAAGUGACAUCAGCAGAGUUCACCCCUUUUCUUAUAAAUGGGCUGGCAAAGGAGAGGAGACCGUAGGAAAAGCUCUAAACAUAGGAAGUCAGAGAGAAUACUAUAGGAUGCCACAGCUGACUUUAUAACGCGUCCUAUUUAUGAGGCAGUGACGGAGGCAAAUAAGUAUCAAUUGUGUACCGUAUUGCCAGGUCUGCGAAAGCAAAGUCCCAUUAUUUUGGUCAGUGUUUUGCAUACAUAUGGACUGUAAAACUAAGCUUGAUAGAUGAGGUGUCUUACCAUCGUCAGUAUAUGAAUCUGCCUUCUGCUGGCAUGCAACCCUCUGAAAGAUGUUAGUCACCUUUAGACCCUUGGUUACCUCAAAUGUGUGCAAUGUCUCUGCUUAACUUCUAGGACCUGCCUCAUCUUUCUCCUCUCUGCUCAGUUGAAAGAGCUUAUACCAAUGGCCUCACAUUUACCAUUUUCUCACACGGAGAGUUUAUUCAUUUAUUUAUUUAUUGUCUUUUUGCCAUUUCUUGGGCUGCUCCCACAGCAUAUGGAGGUUCCCAGGCUAGGGGUCCAAUCGGAGCUGUAGCCACCAGCCUACACCAGAGCCACAGCAACGCCCGAUCGUUAACCCACUGAGCAAGGGCAGGGAUUGAACCCUCAACCUCAUGGUUCCUGGUCGGAUUCGUUAACCACUGCACCACGACGGGAACUCCUCACACGGAGAGUUUUGAAAUGUGGUACCUUGGAAAGUUUGGCAGGGAGAACCCCUUGCAGAGUGAAAGCAGUUUAUAGCAAACCCACCCAUCUACAGAAACAUUUGU
rnacentral:lncRNA from 1 species